AUAAAAGGUUUCAUAAAUACAUCUAUCAUAAUGCAACUAUCUAUUUAAAACGGAAAUGUUUAUUACCUGUGGCCCAUGUAAAAUCGGGUGAAUUGCUGGAACCCCUAACGUAAAGUCGAGGGUAAUCAGCAGCCAAGCUACAUGAAUUGGUUAAUUAAGUAUUGUAGAAGGUUCAACGACUAGGUUGUGAGGAUAACCAUACCAAUAAACAGCCCACGAGCGCCCGACACGAUGAAGGUCUUGCAAACUGGAGUGAUGAUAUAGUCUGGUCCUUCAAGAAAUUGAAGA
rnacentral:ncRNA from 1 species